GACGUAGGGGGCCAGCGUUGCUCGGAAUUACUGGGCGUAAAGGGUUCGUAGGCGGUGUGGCAAGUCGGGAGUGAAAUCUCCAGGCUUAACUUGGAGGCUGCUUCCGAAACUGCCAUGCUAGAGUGCGGGAGAGGCGAGUGGAAUUGCAGGUGUAGCGGUGAAAUGCGUAGACAUCUGCAGGAACACCCGUGGCGAAGGCGGCUCGCUGGACCGCAACUGACGCUGAGGAACGAAAGCUAGGGGAGCAAACAGG
rnacentral:rRNA from 1 species